UACGGAGGAUGCAAGCGUUAUCCGGAUUGAUUGGGCGUAAAGCGCGCGUAGGCGGUCUUGUAUGUCGAUUGUGAAAGCCCCGGGCUCAACCUGGGAACAGCAGUCGAAACUGCAAGACUUGAAUGUUGGAGAGGGUGGGGGAAUACCUAGUGGAGAAGUGAAAUUCGUAGAGAUUAGGUGGAACACCAGAGGCAAAGGCGCCUGCCUGGCCAAACAUUGACGCUGAGGCGCGAAAGCGUGGGUAGCAAACAGG
rnacentral:rRNA from 1 species